ensembl:lncRNA
CGCACAACACGCCCAAUAGUUAUUUUCGGAAGAAACUUCGGAAACGUUAAGGGACAUCAUACAUCCCGCUUUAUUCGACCGCGCGGGAAGUAACUGGACGGGGGGACGACGUAAGAUAUCGGCAAACAUACAAAUAUUUGUACAUAUAUAUAUAUAUUUAUUCGUUAGGACUCAAGACGCUCGAGCUGUUUCACUGCAUGUUUUUCGUGCUGAUCGCAUGUUGUCGUGCCCCUCGCGCUCUGUGUUUGUUUUUAUUUUUCCUACUCCGCACCGCGCGCCCGUCUGUGAUGCGCAAGAGGCGUUCAGCGCGAGCCGCGACAGAGAGACGCACCUGCUUGCCAGGUGUGAAGGUGCGCGCGCAAGGUAAAGUGGGCCUGCUUUAAGGCGCUCGCGCCUCACUCUAUUCUGUGUCGUUUAUUCGAUAGAACGUAACGGACUUGUGGGUUUAUGAGUCCGUCGCGGGGGUGUAGGGACGUAUUUCGUCGUACUUCUUGUGCACGUAUGCGAAUAUGUUUUGGAGACGGUGUAAAUAUGUCUUUAAUUGUGAACGAUAGCGUAUUAAAAGAUCAUUCAGCCCCGAGACGUUCGGUGUUUUUGAUCAAUUAUCACCAAUCUGGGUUCUCCGCUGUUUCUAUCUUCCAGGACAAGGAAGGAGAACAUGCCAGAGAGAGAGAGAGAGAGAGAGAGAGAGAGAGAGAGAGAGAGAGAGAUCUCGGUAGCCCCACCUUUAAACGCUGUGAUUGGUUAUGCAAAUAAAGUCUUAUUGCCGCCCUUGUAUGGCGGCGGCUCGCCACUGUAUGGCUAAUUAAAUCAUCAAUCAAGUCAACUGUUUGAUGCUUUUUCCUCCAAGCCAAUCAGAUGCAGACAAAUAGUGUCACGCGCACUCUCUCUCUAACUUCUGGAAGGCCUAGAGAAGAACUAUACUCCACUGUACGUGAUAUUAGGAUGUUCGCAAUUUCCAAUGCAAAUUGAAUUUUCUAUUUUCUAUUUAUUAUUGGAAUUUAAUAUUUGUAUUUAUUUUUUAUUUUACGCAUUUGCUCACCAACAAAAGCGUUUUUGCGUUAACAUUAGGUCAGUUAUUUAUAUUUUUAUGUUGGUGAGGCUUAUUUAUUCAUGUAUCAUGUUGGAUGAAUCAAGAGAGAGAGAGAGAGAGAGAGAGAGAGAGAGAGAGAGAGAGAGGGAACGAGAGAGGGAGAUAGAGAGAGAGAGACAAUCAUAAAGUUAUAUAUACUGUACAUCCAUACACAUCUGCCACAAGGUAUAUCGAUGAUAAUAAUUAUAUUGUAUAAUAUAUUUGAACGCUGGCUCUUAAUAUAUAAAAAAAAAUAUUCUUGUGCAAAUAUAACCUGUCAAAUAUGUGAAUCUAGUAAUGUUCUGUUUUGUUUAACGAUCAUAAGCCAUAAAUGUAUGAACCCUAUAUAUAUAGGCUGUUAAAUUAUAUAUAUAUAUAUAUAUAUAUAUAUAUAUAUAUAUAUAUAUAUAUAUAUAUAUAUAUAUAU